rnacentral:lncRNA from 1 species
GUGAAAUAAGUAAGAUGGGUAAAACAACUAAGAUGGAUAGGAAGAGGAGUAGAGCUAGCAGCACAUGUAGCACUACCGCAGUAUUGACCUGUCAUAUAAUUAAAUAUUUUUAAAAUUCAUUGUUGAUGCAUGUAAUUGUUACAUAUUUAUCCUCAGAUGGAGCUCGUAUGUAAAUAUUAAUGCAUCUUUAUAGAGGUGAGGAGCAGAAGGGCUCGAGAUGAUGCAAAGAAGAUGGAGCUCCGGAGGAUGCACGUCGAGAAGGAUAAGUCGAUUUCUGAGUUAUAGGUGGCAUUGAAGAGCACUGAAGGGAGCACUGAGAUCAAGGAUGU